GUGUGCUUUGCCCAAUUCCGAUCCUGUUUCCAGAGAACACAGCUGCUUAGACAAUCUGUUAUCUUCGCGUCCUGCCUUCCUUUUGGCGCCAGAACAUCCUAGAGAUCAGGGGCCUCUCCCAUGCCCUGGAACCAUCCUCUCACUGUGCUGCUCUUCCUUGGUGCCCACAACAGAGCUCCCGAAGGCAGGCCUGGAUCAGGGGCGACUGGGGCCCUGAAGUGAGAUGGAGCAAGGCAGAGCGACCCUCGGGAGAGGGGCAUGGGGCGGCCCUGUGCUUUAGACUCAGUACCCUGUGGCUUGAGGAGGUGACACUGUGUCGACGUGCGGGUGAAGGGAGGACGGCUGAAGGACCUUGUGCUGUGCACGAAGGUGGUAUGCAAUCAGAAGACGUCUGAGGAGACAAGUAUGCGUCUCCCACCACAACAUUAUGUGAUGCUUGGAGUAAAAACAGUCAUCCCUGUUCCUACCUACAAUUGUAUUAUUCAAUAAAGAUUGCUGCCAGACAUGGUGGCUCAUACCUGUAGUCCUACCAUUUUGGGAGGCCGAGGCCGGGCAGAUCGCUUGAGACCAGGAUUUGAGACUAGCCUGGACAACAUGGUGAGCCCCCAUCUCUGCAGAAAUAAAAUAAAAUAAAAUUAGCCAGGUGUGGUGGCCUGUGCCUAUAGCCUCAGUUACUUGGGAGGCUGAGGCAGGAGAAUAGCUUGAGCCCUGGAGGUCCAGGCAACAGUGAGCCAUGAUGGCAGCACUGCACUCCAAAUUGGGUGACAGAGUGAGACCCUGUCAAAAAAAAAAAAAAAAGAUUGCAUUAUUCAAUCUUUUUUCCCAUAUAUAAUUUAUAUAGUUACAUAAUUACAUUCUAGUAUUUGCAUAUACUGAGAACUACAUAUAAUUUAGAAUUAUGCUGUUUUCACUUGUAUAUCACCUACAUUUCCCUAUAUAGAUAUAUAACAUCUCUAUUUGUCCUUUUCCACUUGACUGCUAUGUUUCUCAGAUUGAUAUACUGUGAUCUCCUAAGCCAGUUACAGAUUGAUAUGGAUUUAAAUUACUUCCUAUUUUCUGUUUUAUAAACAAUAAACACUGUUAUGAUAUAGUUUUCAUUUUUGUUUGGUUUUUGAUCAUUUCCUGUGGAAGUAUUCUCAAAGCUGAAAUUGCUGAAUUAGUGGGAAUGAACAUGGCUGUGUCUUUUUAAACGUUUUGUCAGCUUACUCUCAAAAAAGAUUACACCAAUAGGUAUUGCCACUAGCAGUAGUUAAGAGUUUGUCUCACCAUGAUUACAAAUUUUCCCAAAUUGGUAGCUUAUUCACACUGAUUGGAACAUAUGAGUUGUUCAAUAUUUUAGAAUAUGUUUAUGGGAAAGCCCUUGAAUAGAUUAAGCAAGAACAUAUAAAUAUGUAAUAAAUUCCAUACUGGAAUACAUCAGUGAUCCUUCUAGCUCUGCAUCUUGAAACCUAGUUAAGCUCUUUUAUGUUGAAUUCACCCUGAUAGAGUUUUGGAAAAUACUUGCUUUUUACUUCUGAAAGUUUUUGCAAAGGAUUAAGUUUUGUUUUUCUGAAAAGUUUUGUCUCUGAAAUUUUCUGCCUAGACUUUGGACAAGGUGUUCUAUUAAUUGUCAAAUGCAAUAGAAUUUAAUCACAUUUUCCUUUCUAGGUUACUUUAUAAGGUGUUCCUACAGGUCAUAAAAAAAUGCCCACAAGGAGCCAAAUUACUUUAUUCAUGGGUCUAAUAUUGCCUUAUAGUAUUGCUAUAUAGGUUUAGAUAAUUAUGUUGUUUUACCUUCAGUAGUCAUAUUUUGGUUAUAGGUAAAGUCAUUCCUAGUUAAAAUAGUAUGCAAAGCAAACAUUUGAAAUCACCAUUAUUCAACAUGUUUUGCUAUUACUUACAAGUAACAAUUUACAUUAUUUUAAUGUUGUAAAUAGUUGUGGAAUUUAGUCAUUUUCUGUGUAUUGAAUUAAUUACUGGCAUUAAAUAAGUAUCUUCUCUCUUCAGUAGCUUAACUCAUUUCCUGAAUCUACCCAUUUGAUAUCAUGCUUUUGAUUGGUAAAGUCACACAUAAAUAUCUAUUUUACUUUUUAUAAUAUAAUGUCAUAAAAAUAGGGAAGAUUUUCUGACAGACAUUAGCCAACUGGUGACAUUUUUAGUGAGUGCCAAAAAGUAAUAUAUGAAUAUAUGAAACAUCAAAUGUUUAGCAUAAACUUUAUAAAUAGCAGAAAUUAUUAGUAGAAGAAAUUACUCACAUAUUGUCUGCUAAAAUAAAGAUUAAAAAUUGACUAUAUGAAAAAAUAUAGUUUCUUGAGCUGAUCAAAUAAAUUGAUUAUAAUUCUUCCUUGUUUUCUGUGUCUGUGGAAGUCAUAGUAAAGCCA
rnacentral:lncRNA from 1 species